CGGCGGAAGCAGACUGCGCGAACUUAGCCACUCGGCCACGGGGCCGGCCCCUUAAAGUAUAUUCUUAAUAGACUGAUAUGAUUAAUGACGCAGGGCCAAGUCUUAGUAGGUCUAGCUGAGGCUGGCUGUGCUUGAUGACCCAGAGCUCCUCCCCCUUCCUAGUUCCCCUUCUUCCCAUACAAAUAAGUUGGUAGUUGGCAAUCCCCCUUGCCAGCGUGUAUGCCCAGUGAGCAGUAAAGUAGUGCUCACUGGUUUCUUUAAAUGUGAUGUUACCAGGAACAUGGCAGUAGUUGGAAGGAGCUUGGAAACUAUUCAUUGAACAAAUAUUUAUUGAGUACAUACUAUGUGCCAGACACUGUUCUAAGCCUUAGAGAUAGAACAGAAGACAGAAAAAGAUUCCCACUCUUAUGGAACCUAUAAUUGUGGAGGGAGACAGACAAUAAAUAAACACAUGGAACUUACGUCAAAUGAGAAGAAUUACCAUAAGAGAAGGGGUUUGAGAGUGCUUCACUGGAGGUGGAGGGGUAACCUUUUAAAUAGGAGGGUUAGAGAAGGCCUCACUUGGAAAGCGACAUCUGAGCAAAGAGCUGGAGGAGAUAAGGGAGUGAGGAAUGUGCCUAGCUAUGGGAAGAGCAUUGCAUGCAGAGGGAACAGCAAAUGCAAAGGAUCUGAGGCAGGAACCUGCCUGGUCUGUUCAAAGAACAUCAGGGAGCUAGUGUGACUGGAAAGGAGAAUGCCAGGAGAAAAGGUGAAAGAGGUCACGGAAGACUGGAUGGCGUCGGCCAUGGAAAGUUACUGGAGGGUUUUGAGCAGUGGAAUGACAUGAUCUGGCUUACAUAAUAAAGUGAUUACUCUGGUAGCUGCCUUGGGAAUAACCUGGGGGGCCAGAGGUAGAAGCAGGGAGACCAGUUAGACGUUGCAAUCGUCUGGAGCUUGGGGAUGAAGAGCAGAGCCUCUGGAGCCAGCCUGCCCGCUUCCAAUGCCAGCUCUGCCACCUACCAGCUGCAUGACCUUGGGCAAACUACAUAAUCCCUGCGUCUCAGUGUCCUCAUCUGUAGAAUGGGAAUGAUAGUUGUACCUACCUCCUAGGGUAUUUGUAAGGAUUAAAUGAGAUGGUAAAUGUGAAACACUUAGAAUGUACGGUUGUUGUGAGGAUUAAAUGAGUUAAAACACUUGUAACAGCACAGUGAGCAAAUGCUGCUUCUGGAUUUGAUGUUAUUGUUGUUGUUAUCAUCUUCUGAGUGAGAGGUGAUGGGGGUCAGGCCAGAGGGUCCCGGUGCUGAAAUAUUGUCCUGCUCGGGGGUGUUUUGAAGGCAGAGCCAGCAGGAUUCGCUGGCAGACUGGCUGUGUGGAAGGCAGAGAGGGGACUCCAAUCUCCCCUCAGAGGGAGGCUGAGGAAACUGGGCCCAGCUGAGGCCACCAUGGUGACAAGCCGUUUUUAAAAGGGACUGAUUGCUAAACAGUUUAAUCUUAACAGAAAUCAAAAUUAAAGAACAAGUUCACUCAUAGACUAACAUAAAAAUUCCUGUGUAACAAACUAUUUUCAUUUUUAUCUAUUCCCUUCAGUCCUUAUCUUUAUGCAUGCAUGAUCCUUAAAUAAUUAAAAUAAUUGCAUUAGCAUAAGUUUAUAUUCAGAAAAAGAGAAGUAUGCAGUAAUUCAUGACUCUAGCAAGUGUUCAUUGGUCGAACAUUAAGGAAAUUAAUGUGCUCAACACCAUUUAUACUCCAGCAUGUACACGGGGCACAGAAUUCCCAUUUUAAGAUGAAAGAACGUACAAUCCUGAGUCAGCUGCUAAAACGGGGCUGUGGGAGGCAUAGUCGUUUAUUCAUUUGUUCACUCAACAAACUUUUAUUAAGUGAGCCUAUAUACGGCUCCUAGAUAAGCAGGUUGAUAAGCAGAUCACACUCCUAUUUCAAGAAGAUUGGUCUUAUGGAGACUGACCAAACUGCUCUAACAGGUUUCAUAUCUGAGGCUCUCCUGGAGGAAUGUGUGUACAAGUCAGCUUGGAAGCGCCGUGGAGGAGACUCUUAAUUCUGCUUAUGGAGGUAGGAAGGCUUCCAAAGAGAGACGACACCUGGACGCCAUGGAGUUUCCUCAGGGCGCAGAAGAGACUCGGUCAAGCUAAUUUACUCCCAUGUGAGUGAGUCCAGUGUGCUUGUCGUGAAUGACAGCUGGGCCCUGAUGGAUGUCAAGUGGUUGCAAGAGCUCCAAGGCAGGAACCUUCUUCUAGGCAAAAGCAACCUAAGACGUUGUCCACAGAUGCCUACAGGAGAAAAUCCAAAUUCCUUAACAUGGGUACAUACCUCCUUCACAAGUUUGCACUGUAUCCUGCUUCAGCAUCAUUUUUUUUGCCAAACCCGACUUGCACUCCCAUUCUCCAGCCACACCAAGCUAUUUGCCAAAUGGGCCCAGUGUUUAUAAACCUCAGCCUGGAAUGUCCUUCCAUGCCCUGGUUAACGCUUACUCAUGUUACACGACCCAACUGAAGCUCUUCUUGGCCCUCCACACCUUUUUGUGGAGUGCUGUGUCUCCUGCUUUGUGGCCCUCUGUACCUGUAAAUACUUCCAUAGUUGUACCAAUAACGUCUCUUUUUCUCUGGCUGUUUACAUAUCUGACAGUCCUUCUGUCUAUAAGUUCUUUUGAGGCAAGGCCGGUUUUUUUCCAGCUUUGUAUGUCCACUGCAGAUGCUCAAUUAAUGUUUUCUUAAAAUUAAUAAAUUAAAAAGUUGAAUGACUGGUUAAUUAGUUGUUCCCAAUUCUCAACUUUCUCAUAUUAAUGGAAGCUUUUUAGGGCUUUAUUUUUGUUUGUUUGUAAGUGUGUGAGUCUGUCGGCCUGUCUUAGACGGGUGCUGCUCAAACUGUAAUGUGCCUGGGAAUCUUGUGAGCACGCAGAUUAGGGCAAGUCUGAGUGGAGCCUGAGAUUCUGCAUUCCUAACAGGCUCCCAGGUGAUGCUGAUACUGCCGGUCCAAGGAGCAUAUUUUGCACAGCAAAGUCAGCAGGCAACAGGGUCUCUAGAGGGCAGAGGUUGCUGUCUGUAAGUAGAGGAAGCCCUAAAAAACAAGUGAAGACUUAGUGAAGAUGACAAUUAGAUGACAAGGAACAUACUUUGUAUCCAUCAUUUCCAUCCAGGAGCUUUGGUCUCCUAUGGAAUUCAUCUUCGGUGAUGGGCUGAGCUUUUCUGGAGCUCUUAUUUCUCAUUUUCUCCAGCUGGAGUCCAGCUUAGGCCACAAACAUUGCUCCCUCCGUACCUUUGUGAUAGUUGCCAGGAGCUCAGCUGAGCUGGGAGAGAGAACACUGAUCUGACAGGUGUGGGAGUAGCUGAUGAAAGCAACAAGCCUAAAAUGAAAAAGUUAAGCCAUUAAUCACUUACUGUGAUGGUAUAAGCAAGAGUCUAAUACUGGAAAAGGUGCCACCUCCCCCUGUUCCAAUUCCCCCUUGGAACUGCACGCCAGUCCAUGUUCAGGUGGAUCAGCGUAGAUGUGCGGGUUGUCUAGCUGUUGGAGCUGCUGAAUAAGAGACUUCGGUUUUGUGGACCCUGAGGUGGAGGGAGCGUGAGGGGGAAGGGCUAGGAGUGGAAAAGUACUGGGUACUGAGUCAGAGUAGGGAAAGUGUCUUCACAGUUUCCUCCCUACCCCCUCCCCAUCAAGGGGCCCAGCAGAGACAGGGACAGGCGCCUGAAGAGGACCUCCGCCCAAGGCCUCAGAAGGAGAGACCUGGGAACGAAGGUGCCUCUGGGCAAGGAGUGUAAAUAUGCGAAGAGCAUGGCCAGCGAGGGGGCUGAGUCCUUGACUGCACUCCCUCCAGAAACCGCCAUGCACGGGCUGCCUACGAGCUUGCUGUGGGGAGGGCAGCCUCUCCAGGCUGCCGGGCAAAGCCUCAGUAAUUGCCUGUGGUCAGGCCUGAAAAAUCACACAGUCACACAUGGGUUUUUAACCAGGAGCUGGACUCCUCAGUAGUUUUUCUCACCCAAGUGUUCGCUUGAAAUUCAUUCAUAUUCAUUCCCUCCCUGUCUCUCUCCGGCCCUCUCCCCCUCUACCCUGCCUUCCUCCCACACCCUCGCCCCCUGCAAUCCUACGCAUCCUUCUCAGCUAUAUUAGUUGCUUAUUGUUGCAUAACCAAGCACUCCAAAACUCAAAACAACAAACGUUUAUUAUCUCACAGUUUCUGUGAGUCAGGAAUCAAGAUGCAGCUUAGGUAGAUGCCUCUGGUUCAAAGUCUCUCGUAAGGUUGAAAACCGUCAGCCAAGGUUGCAGUCUCAUGUUGACUAGGGGGGACCACUCCCAAAUUCACUUGUGUGGUCAUUGGCAGUGUUCAGUUCCUUGCAGGCUGUUGGCAGGAGGCCUACCUCCGUUCCUCGCCACGUGAACCUUUCCUUAGGGCAUCUUAUAACAUGGCAACUGGCUUCCCUCAGGGUGAGUGAGCUAGCGAGAGUAAACACCCAAGAUGGACAGUACGGUUUUUUGUAACCUAAUGUCGGAAGUGACAUCCCAUUACUUCUGCAGGAUUCUGUCUGUUAGAACCAAGUCAUUAAGUCCAGCCCACAUGGGAGGGCAUGACCAAGGGUUUGAAUACCGGGAGAUGGGACUAUUAGGGGCCUUCUUAGAGCCUGCUGACCACAAAGGCCCAGCCAACAUUGUGCCCCUUCCCUAACUAUUCCUCUAGCAUCCGAUAGAAUCUGUUUUCCUAUAACCAAGAUUUCGAUUUUAUUCUAUUCUGUACACAUGUCUUGUUGCCCCAAGUGUUUGAGGCUUCUCUUCUUGGUGGAACUCGGAUUCCCCACAAGCAAAGACCACCGGCUCUUGUCCCCCACUUCUCUUGUGGUCCCCACUGUACCCAUCCCAGGACUAGAGGUAUAAUAAAUAUUUGUUGAUUAUGAACAACUCUCAACUUCAGCUUACUUAAACUUUUUCAGUCCAG